UACGGAGGAUCCAAGCGUUAUCCGGAUUUAUUGGGUUUAAAGGGUGCGUAGGUGGCUUUUUAAGUCAGGGGUGAAAGACGGUAGCUUAACUAUCGCAGUGCCUUUGAUACUGAAGAGCUUGAAUGAACUAGAGGUAGGCGGAAUGUGACAAGUAGCGGUGAAAUGCAUAGAUAUGUCACAGAACACCAAUUGCGAAGGCAGCUUACUAUGGUUUUAUUGACACUGAGGCACGAAAGCGUGGGGAUCAAACAGGAUUAGAAACCCCCGUAGUCC
rnacentral:rRNA from 1 species